rnacentral:rRNA from 1 species
AUGGAUAUCACCGCUAAGCUUUUGCAACACCUUAUAGUAAAUUUUGAAUGUGAACAGGCUAGCACGCUAUCCAACCGUGAAUCUCGUACAAUACAACUUCCUCUUAAUACUAAAGUUGUCAAUGAUAUAUGUAUCUUGCGUGGUGGCUUCGCUCUUUUUGCAUCACAGGGCAAAAGGCUAUCACUUUUUAGGGUUGUCUUGAACGUAGAGAUGGUCGUUCCUUAUAUUUUACUUUUCAUUAAAAGAAACAUAUAUCCUUGUUUUUCAUUUGAAUCGUCCAUCAACUAG